CUACGAGCGUGAAUACACCGAAUUAUCUGCUUCUGAAGCCAGAAAUCAGGACCAUCAUGAAGAUCGUGUUCGUGUUCAUCGCUGUGUGCUUUAUUGCGCUCUCCUGUGCUGUUCCUGUUGAGGAUGAGCUUGAACGAGAGAAGCGCUCGUCCAGCCAUGAGUCCUACCGAGGAGGACAGUUCCAGCCACCAAUCUUUCCAUACUUCCCCAACGUCAACAACAACGACAACAACGCCUGGAUGAACAUCAUCCUGCCCCUGCUGUUAGCACGCCUCUUCCCUGCCCCCGCUCCUGCCCCCGCCCCUGCAACAGGAAAAUAAGACCAGCGUGUAAUGAUCAUGUUCUGUGUGAUUGUUGGCAGUUCCUUGAAAUAAAGACACGUCCUUGAGCA
ensembl:lncRNA